rfam:Triticum aestivum genome assembly, contig: Triticum_aestivum_CS42_TGACv1_scaffold_131478_2BL
CAAAUACUCCCUCCGUCCCGAAAUACUGGUCGGAGCACUGAUAAAAAUGGAUAUAUGUGGAACUAAAAUACGUCUAGAUAGAUCCAUUUCUUCGACAAGUAUUUUCGGACGAAGGAAGUACAUC